AGUGAACGCUGGCGGUAGGCCUAACACAUGCAAGUCGAACGGCAGCACAGGAGAGCUUGCUCUCUGGGUGGCGAGUGGCGGACGGGUGAGGAAUACAUCGGAAUCUACUCUGUCGUGGGGGAUAACGUAGGGAAACUUACGCUAAUACCGCAUACGACCUACGGGUGAAAGCAGGGGACCUUCGGGCCUUGCGCGAUUGAAUGAGACGAUGUCGGAUUAGCUAGUUGGCGGGGUAAAGGCCCACCAAGGCGACGAUCCGUAGCUGGUCUGAGAGGAUGAUCAGCCACACUGGAACUGAGACACGGUCCAGACUCCUACGGCAGGCAGCAGUGGGGAAUAUUGGACAAUGGGCGCAAGCCUGAUCCAGCCAUACCGCGUGGGUGAAGAAGGCCUUCGGGUUGUAAAGCCCUUUUGUUGGGAAAGAAAUCCAGCUGGCUAAUACCCGGUUGGGAUGACGGUACCCAAAGAAUAAGCACCGGCUAACUUCGUGCCAGCCGCCGCAGUAA
rnacentral:rRNA from 1 species